rnacentral:rRNA from 1 species
CGGACAGAGCUGGCGUAUCUGGCCUGUAUUCAGCCGUGCGCUGGUCGGCGUCAGGGCCUCGCUCUCCAGACUGGGAGCGUGUGCCUUGCACUGUCGGCCAUGCACAUGGUGCAUUUGCAGGUGGAGUGCGCUGAGGCGCCCGGGGCAGCGACAUGAGCUCGGCUCUGAGGCCAGCUCCGCAAGGGGUCUGGUACCCGGACUGGGGGAGUGCUGUUUGUUCUGGGUGUGCGYGGGCAAUGGAAUCGGGCUCGAUGUGGGUGCCGAGCUGGCGGUCGGUGGCGGUCGCGUGCGACACGUGCCAGCAGUCAGUUCGGUCCUGCUUGAGCUCUCAUCUGCCUGUCCUCGGUGUAAAAGCCGGUCAUCUGUCCGACCCGUCUUGAAACACGGACCAAGGAGUUUAGCGUGUGCGCGAGUCAUUGGGCGUUGAAAACCCAAAGGCGCAAUGAAAGUGAAGGUCUCCCUUGUGGAGCUGAUGUGUGAUCCUGGUCACUGCGGUGCACCGGGCGCAACAUAGUCCCGUCCUGACCGCUUGCGGUGGGGCGGAGACAGAGCGCACGCGCUGAG